rfam:Escherichia hermannii NBRC 105704 DNA, contig: EH10570404.
GAAAUGGAUCGCUAGGGUUCCGGUCGCAAGACGCUGGUCCGAGAGCGAUCGACCGCCCUCUGGCGGUUACACGGCGGGACAAAAGCCCGGGAGGA